UAGAGUUUUUACAAAAACGAUAACUAACUGAAACUGUAUUUUGUGGUUACAAAACUAACUAAAACUAACUAAAAUUAUAGUGAAAAUGUCCUUAGUUUUCGUUUUUGUCAACUUUUUUCAUUCAUAAUUCAGUGUUUCUAUUUGAACAUGCAACACAUGGUGAAUAUGUUUACUGAGACUGGGAUGUCUACUAGAGAACCAAACUUCAAAACACCCAGAACUGUAAGAGUUAAUAACCUUAUUGGGGCUGAGAUGAUAAACCAAAGGAAAUAAAGGCAAAAUUUAUUAUGACCACUUUGAAUCUCGCACCCAACACAUAGCCCAUUACAAAAAAACUAAAACUAACACUAAAACUAAUAAAAACUAAACUAAAACUAAGCAUUUUCAAAAAAUAAAAACUAAACUAAAACUAGAAAACUCACUCUAAAAACUAACUAAAACUAACUGAAUUUGAAAACAAAAAUUCACAAAACUAAAACUAAUGAAAAAUCCCAAACUAUUAUAACCUUGGAGGGAUCCCGUGCAUUCCAGACUUGGUGAUUUUGUGACAAAAGGUUUCCUGAGCUCCCUGCUUCUUUUAUGCAGAUUUUGUUAUUUUCCAAAUAAAAACACUUUUGCAGCUCCAACGCCAAAAUACUUUAGUAGUCACACUCUCUCCACAGAAGUCACACCCACGUGGUUGCCAGCAGAAGUGUGUGGUGUGUAGCUUUUCAGUGUUAGGACCCCCAGCAUGUCUCUGACCAUGUUUACAGAAACAUGGCUGGAAAAAGGAGUUUGAACAUGUGCACAGCCUCUAAAAUACUCAAAGAUGAGUCUAAAACAGCGGAAGGAAAUGCAUGAAAGCCAACAAACAGAACUAUUUAUGGAGAUUUCUUUGUCUUCAGUCAUACUUUCAUGUUGAUGGAUGAAAAAAAAAAUGUUUCUUCACAAAUAAGAAGAUAAGAUAAGAUAAGAUAAGACAGUGACAAGGGAAAGGAGUUACAGUGGCAGUGUAUUCUGUGUUUUUUUUUAGCUUAAAAAACUUGUUGUAAUAAAAUAUACUGUGACUGGGUUUCUGAAUAAAUUACACUUUGGGGAGCAGAAACAAUUGCUGAACAUUUUCACCAUUUCCUGUUUUAGAGGAACAAAGAUAUAAUAUCAGUUACCCACUUCCCGCUCUUUUGUGAUUUAUCUUACGCCUCAUACAUUUGUUUUUUACUUAAAUACAGAUAAAAUACAGUACUUCCUUCUCAGAUUGCAAGAUUCCAUCUGCUAAUGUCAUCUACAGUAAACUGCUUCUAUUAUAUGAGCUGACGAGAACAAAAAUCCAUG